UGGUGCAUGUAUUGUAAUCGUAGCAUAUUCAGACCAUUUUAGGUAUUAACAGUUAAAACAUCAACUCAGUGCUUGCAUUUUUGUCAGUCGUCCUCUGAAUAGCAAAUGACAAAAGCUCAGUGCCGUAGACCUCCAUUGUCGUCCAAAAAGAGCCAUUAGAGAGCCAAUCGUUUGCCCCUGUGUGGGCUGUUGAUUUGCCAGAGUGGACUGCACCAAGUGAUAGGCUGAUGUGCCCAUCAAUCAUCUAGUCGGUCACUACCACUUUUGAUGUGCCUAUAUGGGGUCGAUUUUGAAUUCGCUUCUAGUGGCUAACUGACAUCCCAUUUGGGGUUAGAAUCAGGUCCCUUUAACACAGGGCACGAAGCAACAGCCCAGAUCUUUAACGUUCUGUCAUGUGUCUUUGGGCUAACAAUAGCAGUCCUCAGCACUACAGCUCCAAUCUGCCCACCACUAGACAAGAAGACAACGUUUGCCAGCCAGCAAUUUAAACCAAACUAAAACAACACAAAAAGUACAUAACAACCUUGUCCUUUUAAAGUCCUCGUUCAGAUAGGUAGGUCCACUUUCACUGUC